GCCGAGCGGCGCGGGGGAGGAGGCCGGCGGGCGGGUGCAGGGAAGGGGCCUCAGCCCCGGCGCCCGGCGUGGGGAGGAGGGGACCGAGUCGGAGCCGGGGCUUGGCCGCGUACACGACCCCCCCCAUCUCGACCCCCACCCCCGCCCCCGUCCGGUUCCGCGGGCAGGGGGCCCUGGCGGCGAGGCAGCGGCCAGUACUGCCUUCACUUUUUAGUGACUGCAGAGGAAAGAAGCUCUAGAAAGUGUUUCACGUUACAGUGACUAGCAGUGGGAGACACUGAUGUGAUCGCUGCUCCUCAGAUUGUUGGGACCUGGCAUUCACUCAUGCGGGUGAGUGCCCAUAUCGCUGUGCGAAGUUGGACGUACAAAAAGUGAGCCCCCCGGUGAUCUUGAACGAUUGGAGGAAACUAAAGCCCUCCACCGAGGUUGUCACUGGUGCAUCAUCUUCAGCUGGGAAUCCGGCCUCCCACACGCACUGCUAAGAGAAUGUGGCAAAUACAAACUUUAGAAAAACGUUGAGCCCUGAUAACCUAAGAGCUUACCAUCUUGUGUAAAUUUCGUGUACCUUAUAAAUAGGUCGGUGAAGAGAUGAAGAGCAAAACAAGCAAGGGCAAACAUCUUUAAAAUGUUCAUAUGCCUGGGGCACCUGGGUGGCUCAGUCAGUUGAGAGACCAACUUCAGCUUGGGU